rnacentral:hammerhead_ribozyme from 1 species
AUACAACUGAAGAGUCCAAAAUAGGACGAAACGCGCGUCCUGGAU